GACGAACGCUGGCGGCGUGCUUAACACAUGCAAGUCGAACGGAAAGGCCCUGCUUGCAGGGUACUCGAGUGGCGAACGGGUGAGUAACACGUGGGUGAUCUGCCCUGCACUUCGGGAUAAGCUUGGGAAACUGGGUCUAAUACCGGAUAGGAGCCAUCUUUAGUGUGGUGGUUGGAAAGUUUUUUCGGUGUAGGAUGAGCUCGCGGCCUAUCAGCUUGUUGGUGGGGUAAUGGUCUACCAAGGCGGCGACGGGUAGCCGGCCUGAGAGGGUGUACGGCCACAUUGGGACUGAGAUACGGACCAGACUCCUACGGGAGGCAGCAGUGGGGAAUAUUGCACAAUGGGCGCAAGCCUGAUGCAGCGACGCCGCGUGGGGGAUGAAGGCCUUCGGGUUGUAAACUCCUUUCGCUAGGGACGAAGCUUUUUUGUGACGGUACCUAGAUAAGAAGCACCGGCUAACUACGUG
rnacentral:rRNA from 1 species